GACGAACGCUGGCGGCGUGCCUAAUACAUGCAAGUCGAACGAGGGGCGGACGGGUGAGUAACACGUGGGAACCUACCCAUCAGAGGGGGAUACAUACUGGAAACGGUAGCUAAUACCGCAUACACUCAGAUGAACCCACAUGGGAUUAGCUUGUAGGUAAGGUAACGGCUGACCUAGGCGACGAUCCCUAGCUGGUCUGAGAGGAUGAUCAGCCACACUGGGACUGAGACACGGCCCAGACUCCUACGGGAGGCAGCAGUGGGGAAUAUUGCACAAUGGGCGCAAGCCUGAUACAGCCAUGCCGCGUGUAUGAAGAAGGCCUUCGGGUUGUAAAGUACUUUCAGUCGGGAGGCGUUACCGACAGAAGAAGCACCGGCUAACUCCGUGCCAGCCGCCGCGGUAAUAC
rnacentral:rRNA from 1 species